GUGGGAUGCAAGCGUUGUCCGGAUUUAUUGGGCGUAAAGAGUUCGUAGGUGGUUUGUUAAGUUUGGUGUUAAAGAACGGGGCCUAACCCCGGUAGUGCACUGAAUACUGGCAGACUUGAGUGCGGUAGAGGUAAGUGGGAUUCCAAGUGUAGCGGUGAAAUGCAUAGAUAUUUGGAAGAACACCGGUGGCGUAAGCGACUUACUGGGCCGUAACUGACACUGAGGAACGAAAGCCGGGGUAGCGAAUGGGAUUAGAUACCCCAGUAGUCCCGGCUGUAAACGAUGGAUACUAGGCGUUGUGGGUAUCGACCCCCGCAGUGCCGUAGCUAACGCGAUAAGUAUCCCGCCUGAGUAGUACGGCCGCAAGGUUG
rnacentral:rRNA from 1 species